CGGGGAGGCAGCUUUCCGGAGGGCGACCCCCGUUCCUCCCCGUGAGGCCGGUGGCGGUGGCCGGGCCGGUCACCUCCCUGUUGCUGUCUGAAACGCACUCGCAGAGGCCAACUGUUGGGCGCAGCCGGACGAGCGACGCUGGGUCCGCUCACGGAGCAGAGAGCCGAACGCCCCGGGGUUCAGAAAGCACCACGCAUGGAGCUGGCCGCUGGCCAGCAGCACCUAGCCGAGGAGUGAGCGGUUUGAGCCCUGGGGGCCAAGCCUCCAUUCCGAACCUUUCAUGGAAGUGAGCGGAGCACGGUGCCGGUCGCCCGGGUGGGGUGGGUCGGGGGCCGGCAGCCAGCAGAGGAAACGCUGUAAUUUCAACCAGGCCCUCCCAAAGGCUAACGAAGACUUGGGGGUCAUUUUUUUGGAAGGGCUAUUAAUAACUUCGGAGAUUAAAUGCAGCCGUCAAUUACAUACACAUUACAAAGGGCUGCUGCUUUUAUUUCCCCUUUUGAAUGACCUACUGGACUGCAUUCUCCUGAGGAACAAAGGAAGUGCCUUUUUAGCUGGAAUCCUUGGAAGACCACCAAGGACUUUAGCUCAUGCAGUGCAAUUUCGCACCACUCUCAACAAUAACAAAAAUGCAUGACUGAAUGGCUCAAAAAUGUGGAGUGUUAGAGGCAUUCAUUUGAGUCUAGGGCACUGUCACAACACAGACAGACCCAAGUAAAUACCUUUAGAUGGCCAGUAUAGAAACAGGGGUAAUCUUUACCAUUGCCCUGGCCUCCCCACAUGCAUACAUUAGCCUCAUCUUCUCUGAGCUACAGGCACAUAAUUUUAGUCAUUUUUUGGGAGGUAGUCACUGGAGUGAUCUUUUUAGUCGAGGUCUGAAUGAACUGCCGGGCACUUUUUCCUUGGAGGGGACUAUGGAUAUAUUUUGGGGGAGUAGAUAGAUUUUAGUGCUGGAUUGUUUGCCAGGCAAAAAAGGCUACAAUGUCUAGGUGCCCAGCUCGUUGAACCCCAGGACUAGCCCAAGUUUAAGGUUUAUUCUCCCGAUUACCUUGUACUUAUCUUCCAGAGGUUUGAGCAGGCUUUAAGAAUACUGUUUUGAAAGGGCUCAGUCAUCAUAAAUCAUAAUUAAGAUAAUUUGAUGUCCUUUCAAGGGUGUCUGUGAGGACAUCAUGCUGACAGGGCUUCUGACCAAGGCCCUGCAUUGCCUGUCGUCUUGACCCCUGUUCUUCUCAGAUAACGGGGAGCCCUGAUACCAUGAUCAAAAGGGACCUGUAACACAAAGGAUAAGUUUUUCCCCCAGCUUUCAAGGGGCAUAUCAUUUUGGAAUGUCUGUAUGUGCAGUAUUCUGUGCUUGGCAUUAUGGAGGUAGGAAGGAGGGCAGGUAGGGCUCCUGCCACCCAGGGACUGUAGGGUAGUAGGUAGGUAAGCAUGCACUUAUAUAAUUGGAAUACAACCCUGACUAUGAGAAGUACUACAUGACCGGUACAGAGGAGAAGGGAGUGCCCUGGGGAGUUCCAAGGAAGAAAGGAUUUGGGAAGGGAAUGUUAACUGGGUAAUCCUAGUUCAUUAGUUAAAAAAAAAAAAUUGAUAAUAAGAAAUUUGAAAAUCCCAACCAUUUCAUUGGACUUCCCUCCAUUAAAGAUAGAAGAUAAGGAUAGGCAAUUGUUGGCAGUAAUUGGCGACAAGUCUGAUAUUUGCUGAAAUUGACUUUAAGAGUGAUGAGUCAGGUUAGAAGCUUUUCUGAGCUUGCCAGAGGUCCCCUUCACAGUGACUCUGAAUGAUGCCCAGGAGGAUUUUGUGUCACUAGUUGUGUUUCUGGGGUUUUAGUUUCCUGCUCCCAUUUAUGUUCAUGACCAUGCGUCUGUGAGCAUGGGGGAACAUACACCUUAUACCUCAAGGGAUUCUGGGAAUCAGAUGAGCUAUGUUAGGAUUGCCUGGGGGAAAAAAGUGCACAUUUGUUUGGGAGAGGUAGCGUUACUUUCCAUUCUGAUACUGAGUUGAUUAUUGCAUGAAAGACACAAAGGAAAUGUCUAAAAGAUUUGUAUUCCCCCUUCCCCACCUUACAUAGUAGGGUUGGAUUUUGGAAUGCACUUGUGAACUGUUCUGUUGGAAUCCAACAGUUUGGCUUGCUGUAUUUUACUUGAGAGGAGAAGGCUUAAUUGAGCCACAGGAUCUGUUGCCAUAGAAAUUACCCCAAGUGUACAGGAACCAUCUCCCGGACAUGUUCAAAGAAGACCUUAGUAAAAGUGUUCUGGCUUACUCAGCUCCAUCUCUAGUUAGAGCACCCAAACAUAAAAUGUUUGACUCAGUAGAAGUAAUAUUUUCCUUUUUUAUUUGAUUCACAUGGAAUCACACUCAAUUUUAGGAUUAACUGGAGACUAGCCUAAGGAAUGGAAAAGGAGGUUUGUUGUCUCUACAAGGGAAACAUCAGUCUUCAUCUAAGACUGCUGGAAAUAAGUUAGUUGCUCUGGCAUCCCAAUAACAUCAU
ensembl:lincRNA